rnacentral:rRNA from 1 species
CGUUUGAGAUUUGAGAGGGGCUGCUCCUAGUACGAGAGGACCGGAGUGGACGAACCUCUGGUGUUCCGGUUGUCACGCCAGUGGCAUUGCCGGGUAGCUAUGUUCGGAAGAGAUAACCGCUGAAAGCAUCUAAGCGGGAAACUUGCCUCAAGAUGAGAUCUCACUGGGAUCUUGAAUCCCCUAAAGGGCCGUCGAAGACUACGACGUUGAUAGGUUGGGUGUGUAAGCGCUGUGAGGCGUUGAGCUAACCAAUACUAAUUGCCCGUGAGGCUUGACCAUAUAACACCCAAGCAAUU